AAGUCGUAACAAGGUUUCCGUAGGUGAACCUGCGGAAGGAUCAUUAACACGUAUCCAACGUUAAACAACCCUGUGAACUUUCAGCGCUCUUGUAGCCCCGGAGGAACAGCAAUCCCGGUAAAUCAAAUGGCGGAAAGAGUUUUGAUUCGGGACCUCUGUCCAAAAGGUAUCAAGUUACAAUCGAGCAGAGCAGUGGCAUGGUUUCCCUAAGCAGUGCAGAAGGAUCCACUGAGUAAGGAUAACGCAUCACGGUUGCCAGAGGUCGAUCACCGGCCUUACGCCCCUUCAUUCACCCCUUGCCCUCUCAAGCCUCGCGGAAACGCCAGGCAUAAAAACCGAACAACUGUUAACAAUGGAUAUCUUGGUUCUC
rnacentral:misc_RNA from 1 species